rnacentral:ncRNA from 1 species
AAAGGUUUCAUUUAAAAUUUUUAAUUAAAAAAAAUGUAACUUAUUAACAUGGCUUAGGAGGAAGUCAGAUAAUGUUUAUUAUAUUUUUGUAUGUUUUAAAAUUUUAAUUUAGUUUAAAAUAUAGGUUAUAAUUUUAAUUAUAUGUAAAUAUAAAUAAAAAAAGAUAAGCAGUUAUUUAUUUUAUUAAUUAAAGAAAUUUAGAAUUAGAAAAUUUAUUUAUUAUUAACUAAAUUUGUGCCAGCAGUUGCGGUUAUACAAAUAAUAAGAUUUAAUUUUAUAAAUAUUAAUUAAUUAGUAUAUUAAAUUUAAAAUAAAAAUUUAUUAAGUGGAAUUUUAUAUUUUUAUUUAAAUUUUAAUUUAUAAAUGAAGUUAAAAAUUUUAAGGUUUAGACUAGGAUUAGAUACCCUAUUAUUUUAAAUAUAAAUUUAAUUAUUAGAUUAUUAAGAGUUAAUUUCUUUAAAAUUAAAAAUUUUGGCGGUAUUUUAGUCUUUUCAGAGGAACCUGUUUUAUAAAUGAUAUUCCACGAGUUUAUAUAUUUUUAUUAUUAGUUUGUAUAUCAUUGUAGUUAUAAAUUUUAUUAGAAUAUUUAAAAAGUUUUUAUUUAAAAUUUUAUCAAAUCAAGGUGCAGUUUAUAUAAAAAUAAAAAUGGGUUACAUUAAAUUAAUUUUUUUUUAUUUGAAUUUUAAGAUUUAUAUAAUAAUUGGAUUUGAUAGUAAUUUUAAUAAAAUUAUUAUUUUGAUUUAAGCUCUAAAAUAUGUACAUAUCGCCCGUCGCUUUCAUUUUUGAAAUAAGUCGUAACAAAGUAGAUUUACUGGAAAGUAAAUCUAGAUUCAAA